GAUGAACGCUGGCGGCGUGCUUAACACAUGCAAGUCGAACGAAGCAUUUGCGACAGAUUUUUUCGGAAUGAAGUUGCUUAUGACUGAGUGGCGGACGGGUGAGUAACGCGUGGGUAACCUGCCUUGUGCUGGGGGAUAGCAGCUGGAAACGGCUGGUAAUACCGCAUAAGCGCACAAUGUUGCAUGACAUGGUGUGAAAAACUCCGGUGGUAUAAGAUGGACCCGCGUCUGAUUAGCUAGUUGGUGAGAUAACAGCCCACCAAGGCGACGAUCAGUAGCCGACCUGAGAGGGUGACCGGCCACAUUGGGACUGAGACACGGCCCAGACUCCUACGGGAGGCAGCAGUGGGGAAUAUUGCACAAUGGAGGAAACUCUGAUGCAGCGACGCCGCGUGAGUGAAGAAGUAAUUCGUUAUGUAAAGCUCUAUCAGCAGGGAAGAUAGUGACGGUACCUGACUAAGAAGCUCCGGCUAAAUACGU
rnacentral:rRNA from 1 species